UUAAAAAUGCAGUCGGACAAAUGAGUAAAAUAAUGUUUCUAACCUAUGUGGAUUACUUGCAAAAAUAUAUUGACAUAUUCCCUCUUUUGGGACCGGAUGCCUGGGAAGGUUUAUUUGACAACCUUAGUUGCGCGGACUCUUCACUUUUUAUGCCGCACCCAUCUCGGAUUCUUCAAAAAUACACUACUUUUGGCGAAUCCAACACGCACCUGUUGGCAUUUUUGAAGAGUCCGAGCAACAUAGUUGACAACCAAUUUAUGUAGUCUUCACUUGGUUUCAGUUGAAUCCUCCUGCUUCAAAAGCUUUAAAACUAAUGCAUAAGCUUGCUGCUGAU
rnacentral:lncRNA from 1 species